UGGGUAUAUAAUAAACGUCAUAUGAAUUUGCACCAAUUUCAGAUACAGAAAACAUACGUACGCAAGUUGUGUCCAAAGGGAUCUAAACCCUAGCUAGCUAUACCUGGCUUUUUAUUUCCUUUAACUUUUGCAUGCCCCAUGCAAAUUAUUUAUGUAUGUACACACACGUAGAUACAUAGUUCUCUUUUACUAGUUUAUUACAAAGACGGAUUGGCUAGCUAGGGUUUUAAGGGUUAGCUUCAUUAUUUGCCAUGUUGUAAGCUCUACCUUCUUCAGCACUAUGACAACAGUAUCUGCAACCGCGUCCUCCCCAUUCGCCUCCACAGCAGCCCCAUCUGCAGCCUCCUCCCCAACCACCACCUCGGUGACCCCACCCGCCUCCAUAAUCACCGCCAUAGCCACCACCAUAACCACCGCCAUAGCCGCCACCGCCAUAAUAAUUUACUUGAUCUGCUUUAGAAGCUUCUUCAUUCGCUGCACAAAUGAACAAAGUACGUCAUAUUUAACUGCAUCUACAUCUAUCUAUCUAUCGAUAUAUAUAAAUUAAUGAUCUAAAAAUUUAAUUAUUGCACUCUUGUUAUUAAGUUAUCCUAAAACAUACAAACUUUUUUUAUUAUAUCAAAAUCAUUAAUUGAACUUUCAAAUAAUUAAUUGUAAUCUCUCUUAUAAUACGCUAGCUGCAGCUUACAAAUUGGUUUCUCCACUAUAAUAAAUCUGAUCAGCAUAUGUAACACAACACAUGCAUGUGUAUUUACCCUUUCGAUUUUAAAAUAUAAGAUCAAAUUUGACUUUUUAAAAUUAAUAUAAAAUAUUUUUAAAUUCACAAUGUCAUUUAUUUUAAUUUUGAAAACAACACACCUUGUAAGUAAUACUACUUUUUGCAUAUUUUACGAUUUUCUUCGUUAUCUAAUCUAAAAAUACGUAAAAGAAAUUAUACCAAUUUUGCACCUAAAAAUAUCUUAAAUUAAUUUCAAAAAAUUAACUUAGUAGUAGUAGUAAUAAUAAUAAUUGAUAACAAUAAUAAUUCAAAUAAUAAUUAUAAUAACAAUUGAAGUAAUAAUCAUAUAUAACACCAGUUUGAGACAAGAAGUACGUACUGCAUGGUUGCAGAUACUAAAUUGACAUGCAUGAUAGCUAUUUAUUACACACACCCUAUAUAUAUAUAUAGCAAAAAGGCCUAUACGGCUAAAAAAUAAAAGGAUCGGAGGAGAAUAAGAAGUCCAAGUUGGAUGGUUAUACUAACUUUUUUCCUCAGCUUGAGGUUUCUCGUCUGCCGUCACCGAGGAAAUGAUGAGAAGGAGAGCAAAAAUAAGUCCAAGGAAAAGAAAAGCGUUAGGCUUCAUUUUUCUUCCUAGAAAAGAUGGACAACUUAAUUAGAAAAAUAUUUAAGAAAA
rnacentral:lncRNA from 1 species